UGCAAGUCGUACGAGAGUUUUUAACUCAAGUGGCGGACGGGUGAGUAACACGUAAGAAUUUACCUUUAGGAGGGGGACAACAGCUGGAAACGGCUGCUAAUACCCCAUAUGCUUUCGAGUGAAAUGGAUUUUUCCGCCUAGAGAGAAGCUUGCGGCUGAUUAGCUUGUUGGUAAGGUAAUGGCUUACCAAGGCGACGAUCAGUAUCUGGUUUGAGAGGACGAUCAGACACACUGGAACUGAGACACGGUCCAGACUCCUACGGGAGGCAGCAGUGGGGAAUUUUCCGCAAUGGGCGAAAGCCUGACGGAGCAAUCUCGCGUGAGGGAUGACUGCCUAUGGGUUGUAAACCUCUUUUUUCAGGGAGGAAUCAAUGACGUGUACCUGAAGAAUAAGCAUCGGCUAACUCCGUGCCAGCAGCCGCGGUAAGACGGAGGAUGCAAGUGUUAUCCGGAAUCACUGGGCGUAAAGCGUCUGUAGGUGGUUUAAUAAGUCAACUGUUAAAUCUUGAAGCUCAACUUCAAAAUCGCAGUCGAAACUAUUAGACUAGAGUAUAGUAGGGGUAAAGGGAAUUUCCAGUGGAGCGGUGAAAUGCGUAGAGAUUGGAAAGAACACCGAUGGCGAAGGCACUUUACUGGGCUAUUACUGACACUCCAGAGACGAAAGCUAGGGUAGCAAAUGGGAUUAGAUACCCCAGUAGUCCUAGCCGUAAACAAUGGA
rnacentral:rRNA from 1 species